GUUGAACGCUGGCGGCGUGCCUAACACAUGCAAGUCGAGCGGCAGCGGGUUUUACGCUGCAUUCUGGAAGCUCCGGAGGAGUACAGAAGCUUUAUUCACGAGUUGGGAGUAAAAUGUAGGCGAGCGGAGGGCGGCUGAGUAACGCGUAGGAAUUUGCCGCGAAGUGAGGAAUAACUCGCAGAACGGGUAGCUAGUGCCGCAUAUGUCCUACGGGUUAAAUGCUUCGGUAGCUUUGGGCGAAGCCGGCGUUGGAUAAGUUGGUUGGUAGGAUAAUGUGCUACCAAGGCGAGGAUCCACAGCUGGUCUGAGAGGCAGAGCAGCCAGACCUGAACUGAGACACGGUCCAGAAUCCUACGGGAGGCAGCAGUGAGGAAUCUUCCACAAUCGGCGAAAGCCUGAUGGAGCAACGCCGCGUGAAGGAUGAAGGCUUUCGGGUUGUAAACUUCUUUUAUGAGUGAAGAAUAUGACGGUAACUCAUGAAUAAGCACCGGCUAACUACGUG
rnacentral:rRNA from 1 species